rnacentral:rRNA from 1 species
GAUGAACGCUGGCGGCGUGCUUAACACAUGCAAGUCGAACGAUGAAGCCCACUUGUGGGUGGAUUAGUGGCGAACGGGUGAGUAACACGUGAGUAACCUGCCCUUGACUCUGGGAUAAGCCUGGGAAACUGGGUCUAAUACCGGAUAUGACCUUCCAUCGCAUGGUGGUUGGUGGAAAGCUUUUGUGGUUUUGGAUGGACUCGCGGCCUAUCAGCUUGUUGGUGGGGUAAUGGCCUACCAAGGCGACGACGGGUAGCCGGCCUGAGAGGGUGACCGGCCACACUGGGACUGAGAAACGGCCCAGACUCCUACGGGAGGCAGCAGUGGGGAAUAUUGCACAAUGGGCGCAAGCCUGAUGCAGCGACGCCGCGUGAGGGAUGACGGCCUUCGGGUUGUAAACCUCUUUCAGUAGGGAAGAAGCGUAAGUGACGGUACCUGCAGAAGAAGCGCCGGCUAACUACGUGCCAGCAGCCGCGGUAAUAC